rnacentral:lncRNA from 1 species
UCAAGUUCGCGCUCUACACUCUAACUUAUCUUUUUCUUUAUUCGUUCUAGCCUACGGUCAUACAUUACUCAAGCAAAAAGAUUUACAUGCUUUGCUUCUUUUUUUUCUUUUGUUUAUUAGAUUACAAAAAACGCAGGAGAGAAUAAGCUAUUGUCCGUGCUUCCGUGUCGUGUCCGACACAUGUCUAAGGACACGAUCAAACACGCGAUUAACGCUUGUCGAUUUUUCCAACACAUGAUCAACCUUUGUCUGACACGUUUCGACACGCGUGUCCAGGAGGGUGGAAGCGACAGCGAGGGAGCAGACCGCGAGCCAUGGCGAGAGACGGCCAAGCAUAGACUGAGGCGAGGGCCUUUGUGAUGCUGCGAUGGAUCCAACGAGGCUGCAGCUGCGAGGGAGAAAGGACCGAAGGCGAGAGGAAGAGGAGAGGAAGGCGGUUGUGCGGCGAGGAGCGGCGAGCAGCAAGGAGCGGUAAGGAAGGGGGUCGUGCGGCGAGCGGCGAAGAAGGGGGUCGUGCGGUGAGCAGCGAGGAAGGAGAAGGAUUGAGAGGAGGAGAAGACGAAGGGUCGUGCACGAGCGGCGAGGAGGAGUAAAGGAGCUAAGGUUUCUGAAGAAAC